UGCAAGUCGAACGAGAAAGUGGAGCAAUCUACAAGUAAAGCGGCGUACGGGUGAGUAACACGUGGAUCAUCUACCUUGGAGUGGGGAAUAACCCUGGGAAACUAGGGCUAAUACCGCAUAAGCCUGAGAAGGGAAAGCAAGCAAUUGCGCUCAAAGAGGAGUCCGCGGCCGAUUAGCUAGUUGGUGAGGUAAAGGCCCACCAAGGCGACGAUCGGUAGCCGGCCUGAGAGGGCACACGGCCACACUGGCACUGAAACACGGGCCAGACUCCUACGGGAGGCAGCAGUGGGGAAUCUUGCACAAUGGAGGAACCUCUGAUGCAGCGACGCCGCGUGAGCGAUGAGGCCCUUCGGGGUGUAAAGCUCUUUCGGCAGGAACGAUAAUGACGGUACCUGAAGAAGAAGCUGCGGCUAACUACGUGCCAGCAGCCGCGGUAAUACGUAGGCAGCGAGCGUUGUUCGGAAUUACUGGGCGUAAAGAGUGUGUAGGCGGUGCUCUAAGUUCGGUGUGAAAUCUCCCGGCUCAACUGGGAGGGUGCGCCGGAAACUGGAGUGCUCGAGCGUGGGAGAGGAAAGCGGAAUUCCUGGUGUAGCGGUGAAAUGCGUAGAUAUCAGGAGGAACACCUGUGGUGUAGANGNUUUCUGGACCAUUGCUGACGCUGAGACACGAAAG
rnacentral:rRNA from 1 species